rnacentral:lncRNA from 1 species
GAAAUGAAAGAGGAAUGUUUCUUUGCAAAAUGUAGUACGUACAACAACAAGAGAGGCAUCACGAGAAGCUUGGAACGGUACGAGGAGAGCUGCUGCGCUACAGGAUGAAAAUGAUUGAAGCAUAGGAAGAAUGAAAUUGAAGGAUCGACUACCUACUGGGAGUGACACAAGUAGAAAUUCAUUGGUUUUAAUUUCUUCCUUUGUUUAUUGAUUUCUAUUUUAUUAUGUCUAGCUAAACUCUUGAUUGGUCCUUGGGGAUUCUGAUUAUUAUUUAUCUUGAAUUAUGUGAUUAUCAUAUGUUAUGAUCAAUGAAUUACGAAGUUAGUUUCUUCAAUUAUUCGCGCUUAAUGCUUUACAUGACUUGAUCAAUUGUGUGAUGAUUCCAAUUAUUUGUUUUACUAUGACG